GUGGGUAACCUACCCUCGGGAGGGGGACAACUCCGGGAAACCGAAGCUAAUACCGCGUAAGACCACGGACUGAAAUGUCAGUGGUAAAAGUGGUAACACGCCCGAGGAUGGGCCCGCGUCCUAUCAGGUUGUUGGUAGGGUAACGGCCUACCAAGCCUAAGACGGGUAGCCGGUCUGAGAGGAUGGACGGCCACACUGGAACUGAGACACGGUCCAGACUCCUACGGGAGGCAGCAGUGAGGAAUUUUGCGCAAUGGGCGAAAGCCUGACGCAGCGACGCCGCGUGAAGGACGAAGGCCUUCGGGUUGUAAACUUCUUUUCUCGGGGAAGAUAGUGACGGUACCCGAGGAAUAAGCCACGGCUAACUCUGUGCCAGCAGCCGCGGUAAGACAGAGGUGGCAAGCGUUGUUCGGAAUCACUGGGCUUAAAGGGCGCGUAGGCGGUGUGGUAAGUCCGGGGUGGAAUCCUAUGGCUCAACCAUAGAAUUGCCUCGGAAACUGCUGCACUUGAGUCAGUGAGAGGAGGGCGGAAUUCCUGGUGUAGCAGUGAAAUGCGUAGAUAUCAGGAGGAAGGCCAGUGGCGAAGGCGGCCCUCUGGCACUUGACUGACGCUGAGGCGCGAAAGCGUGGGUAGCAAACAGGAUUAGAUACCCUGGUAGUCCACGCCCUAAAGCGGUGGGCAUUAGGUGUAGGGCUCGCGAGAGUUCUGUGCCGUAGGGAAACCAUUAAAUGCCCCGCCUGGGGAGUACGGCCGCAAGGUUAAAACUCAAAUGAAUUGACNG
rnacentral:rRNA from 1 species